AAGGACCAAUCUCUCCUUGCCCAUAACUUCAACAUCCUUAAGAAACAUUCCACACAACAGGGGCUAUAUCGUACUUUCGACGUAAAUUCAUCUCCUCCGCUGCUUAUGUGUCCUAUCUCCGUCCAUUUCACAAUUCAGCCAGAGUCCUCCGAUUUAUAGAUCCUUGAUCAAUGGCGACCCUCUCCGCCUACUCUCCUCCGUGGCCAAAUCCAAACCCUAACGCUACUCUUCUAUCUACGCAGGAAGCUGUGGAAGGACUCGAGUCACAGUCACAAUCCCAAAAUUCUUACCACUCGCUUUCUUCAAUUAUGCCUCAAGAUCAACUUACCGAUCAGCUUUCGCCUGUCAAUCCUGACCCCAAUUACCAUGCUUCUUUAUCUUCACCGCCGGACUCCACCUUGCCAGUUUCUCUACUUCACCUCACAUUCAACCAGGAUUUUGGAUGUUUCUCUGCGGGUACGGACCACGGGUUUCGUAUCUACAACUGCGACCCGUUUCGGGAGAUAUUCCGCCGGGAUUUUGAUUGCGGCGGGGGAGGCGGCAUCGGAGUCGUUGAGAUGCUUUUCCGUUGUAAUAUUUUGGCCCUUGUCGGCGGUGGAUCCGUCCCUCAGUAUCCUCCUAACAAGGUCAUGAUCUGGGACGACCAUCAGAAUCGCUGCAUUGGGGAGCUCUCUUUUAGGUCUGAGGUUCGAUCCGUUAAGCUUAGACGGGAUAGAAUUAUUGUGGUCCUGGAGCAGAAGAUUUUUGUGUAUAAUUUCGCGGAUUUGAAGCUGUUGCAUCAGAUUGAGACGAUCGCAAAUCCCAAAGGUCUCUGUGCAGUGUCGCAGGGGGCGGGUUCCUUGGUAUUGGUUUGUCCAGGAUUGCAGAAGGGCCAGGUUAGGGUGGAGCAUUACGCGUCGAAACGGACCAAGUUUAUUAUGGCCCAUGAUUCGAGGAUUGCUUGUUUUGCUCUCACGCAUGAUGGGCAGUUGCUAGCCACUGCCAGCACGAAGGGCACUCUGGUUCGGAUUUUCAAUACGGCUGAUGGUACUCUGCUGCAAGAGGUAAGGAGGGGUGCAGAUAGAGCAGAAAUAUAUAGUUUGGCAUUCUCGUCAACUGCCCAGUGGCUGGCAGUCUCAAGUGACAAGGGUACUGUCCAUGUUUUCAGCCUUAAGAUUCCUGGAUCUCCAGCGGCUGAUAAGUUAUGGAAUACACCUGAUUCUAAUUCUGCAGUUAAUUCUUCCACCUCACCUUUGUCCUUCUUUAAAGGUGUCCUGCCAAAGUAUUUCAGUUCAGAGUGGUCGGUGGCUCAGUUUCGUUUAGUUGAAGGUUCUCAGUACGUUGUUGCUUUUGGCCACCAAAAGAAUACAAUUCUAAUUCUUGGCUUGGAUGGAAGGUAAGGACAUGAUGGUGUGGGAAUUGAGAGAAGAAAGAGGGGUAGUUCGAACACUAAUUGAGAGUUGUCCAGUGAAUUUAGUAUGUAAAAUUUUGUUAUUUCGUUUGGUCACUGAUAAAUUAAUGAAACUUCUUCUAUAGAUGUCAAUUUGACCCUGUGAAUGGUGGAGAGAUGACACAACUGGAAUAUCACAACUUCUUGAAGCCAGAAGCAGCUUUCUGAGAAGACAUUGACAUUUUCAAUUUCUUGGAGAUACACAUGUAUCUUGUAUAAAUUCUCUUUUCUUGUUGGUGUUUCCACCACCCUUCCCCUCUCCCCCAAGUUAACAUAAUCUAGAAACGGCCGCAUUAUAUUGUAAAUAUGUAACUUGGUGUUUGUAAAGUUGUUAAAAAAAAAAACAUGUAACUUUGUCUAGAAAAAAAAAACAUGUAACCACAUUUUUUUAUCUUUUAAAACGAGCCAAUGUUGUAAUUUCCUUUCCCUAGAAAUUGAGCUACAAUGUGUUUAUGUUUAA